GUAAUUCUACUUGUCACGCUUUGAACAAUCUAUGGUAAAUGAAAAGAAUCCAAAUAAACAACCGUACCAUAAAGAAGAAUCAAACGAACAAAUCCAGAAACAAGAACUGCGGGGAUAACCGAGCUCUCACCGCGGUUAGGAAGAUCUGGUUGUCCAUUGCAUUUCCUUGAUGCGUUUCCGGCCGUUUGGAUUGGGGCGCUGGAGUACGUCGGUCGCCGGAUCGAACACGAGCUCCUGUAGCAAGGAAUAAUUACUCCCACGAUGAAAUAUCUCAUGCCACCGCAUGUGAAUUCGAUGCCCG
rnacentral:lncRNA from 1 species